rnacentral:tRNA from 1 species
GGAGAGAUGUCCGAGUGGUCGAAGGUGCACGAUUGGAAGUCGUGUAAGCUCAAAAGGCUUCGAGGGUUCGAAUCCCUCUCUCUCCG